rnacentral:rRNA from 1 species
AGCGUACACGGUGGAUGCCCUGGCAGUCAGAGGCGAUGAAGGACGUGCUAAUCUGCGAUAAGCGUCGGUAAGGUGAUAUGAACCGUUAUAACCGGCGAUUUCCGAAUGGGGAAACCCAGUGUGUUUCGACACACUAUCAUUAACUGAAUCCAUAGGUUAAUGAGGCGAACCGGGGGAACUGAAACAUCUAAGUACCCCGAGGAAAAGAAAUCAACCGAGAUUCCCCCAGUAGCGGCGAGCGAACGGGGAGSAGCCCAGAGCCUGAAUCAGUGUGUGUGUUAGUGGAAGCGUCUGGAAAGGCGCGCGAUACAGGGUGACAGCCCCGUACACAAAAAUGCACAURYUGUGAGCUCGAUGAGUAGGGCGGGACACGUGGUAUCCUGUCUGAAUAUGGGGGGACCAUCCUCCAAGGCUAAAUACUCCUGACUGACCGAUAGUGAACCAGUACCGUGAGGGAAAGGCGAAAAGAACCCCGGCGAGGGGAGUGAAAAAGAACCUGAAACCGUGUACGUACAAGCAGUGGGAGCAYGCUUAGGCGUGUGACUGCGUACCUUUUGUAUAAUGGGUCAGCGACUUAUAUUCUGUAGCAAGGUUAACCGAAUAGGGGAGCCGAAGGGAAACCGAGUCUUAACUGGGCGUUAAGUUGCAGGGUAUAGACCCGAAACCCGGUGAUCUAGCCAUGGGCAGGUUGAAGGUUGGGUAACACUAACUGGAGGACCGAACCGACUAAUGUUGAAAAAUUAGCGGAUGACUUGUGGCUGGGGGUGAAAGGCCAAUCAAACCGGGAGAUAGCUGGUUCUCCCCGAAAGCUAUUUAGGUAGCGCCUCGUGAAUUCAUCUCCGGGGGUAGAGCACUGUUUCGGCAAGGGGGUCAUCCCGACUUACCAACCCGAUGCAAACUGCGAAUACCGGAGAAUGUUAUCACGGGAGACACACGGCGGGUGCUAACGUCCGUCGUGAAGAGGGAAACAACCCAGACCGCCAGCUAAGGUCCCAAAGUCAUGGUUAAGUGGGAAACGAUGUGGGAAGGCCCAGACAGCCAGGAUGUUGGCUUAGAAGCAGCCAUCAUUUAAAGAAAGCGUAAUAGCUCACUGGUCGAGUCGGCCUGCGCGGAAGAUGUAACGGGGCUAAACCAUGCACCGAAGCUGCGGCAGCGACGCUUAUGCGUUGUUGGGUAGGGGAGCGUUCUGUAAGCCUGUGAAGGUGUGCUGUGAGGCAUGCUGGAGGUAUCAGAAGUGCGAAUGCUGACAUAAGUAACGAUAAAGCGGGUGAAAAGCCCGCUCGCCGGAAGACCAAGGGUUCCUGUCCAACGUUAAUCGGGGCAGGGUGAGUCGACCCCUAAGGYGAGGCCGAAAGGCGUAGUCGAUGGGAAACAGGUUAAUAUUCCUGUACUUGGUGUUACUGCGAAGGGGGGACGGAGAAGGCUAUGUUGGCCGGGCGACGGUUGUCCCGGUUUAAGCGUGUAGGCUGGUUUUCCAGGCAAAUCCGGAAAAUCAAGGCUGAGGCGUGAUGACGAGGCACUACGGUGCUGAAGCAACAAAUGCCCUGCUUCCAGGAAAAGCCUCUAAGCAUCAGGUAACAUCAAAUCGUACCCCAAACCGACACAGGUGGUCAGGUAGAGAAUACCAAGGCGCUUGAGAGAACUCGGGUGAAGGAACUAGGCAAAAUGGUGCCGUAACUUCGGGAGAAGGCACGCUGAUAUGUAGGUGAAGCGACUUGCUCGUGGAGCUGAAAUCAGUCGAAGAUACCAGCUGGCUGCAACUGUUUAUUAAAAACACAGCACUGUGCAAACACGAAAGUGGACGUAUACGGUGUGACGCCUGCCCGGUGCCGGAAGGUUAAUUGAUGGGGUCAGCGCAAGCGAAGCUCUUGAUCGAAGCCCCGGUAAACGGCGGCCGUAACUAUAACGGUCCUAAGGUAGCGAAAUUCCUUGUCGGGUAAGUUCCGACCUGCACGAAUGGCGUAAUGAUGGCCAGGCUGUCUCCACCCGAGACUCAGUGAAAUUGAACUCGCUGUGAAGAUGCAGUGUACCCGCGGCAAGACGGAAAGACCCCGUGAACCUUUACUAUAGCUUGACA